rnacentral:rRNA from 1 species
AAAGCGUUUCGCUUUGCGUGGUGCGCAAAAUGCGUAACGACAGCACGAUUGCGGUUAACGGAGCGUAAGCGACGUUCAACACAAAAAUCAGGCAGUGGAGCGUUUUGGGGUGGGGUGACUGCGUACCUUUUGUAUAAUGGGUCAGCGACUUAUAUUCUGUAGCAAGGUUAACCGCAUAGGGGAGCCGGAGGGAAACCGAGUCUUAAUUGGGCGUUAAGUUGCAGGGUAUAGACCCGAAACCCGGUGAUCUAGCCAUGGGCAGGUUGAAGGUUGGGUAACACUAACUGGAGGACCGAACCGACUAAUGUUGAAAAAUUAGCGGAUGACCUGUGGCUGGGGGUGAAAGGCCAAUCAAACCGGGAGAUAGCUGGUUCUCCCCGAAAGCUAUUUAGGUAGCGCCUCGUGAAUUCAUCUCCGGGGGUAGAGCACUGUUUCGGCCAGGGGGCCAUCCCGGCUUACCAAUCCGAUGCAAACUGCGAAUACCGGAGAAUGUUAUCACGGGAGACACACGGCGGGUGCUAACGUCCGUCGUGAAGAGGGAAACAACCCAGACCGCCAGCUAAGGUCCCAAAGUCAUGGUUAAGUGGGAAACGAUGUGGGAAGGCCCAGACAGCCAGGAUGUUGGCUUAGAAGCAGCCAUCAUUUAAAGAAAGCGUAAUAGCUCACUGGUCGAGUCGGCCUGCGCGGAAGAUGUAACGGGGCUAAACCAUGCACCGAAGCUGCGGCAGCGAACGUAUCACCCA